UACGUAGGGGGCAAGCGUUGUCCGGAAUCAUUGGGCGUAAAGAGCGUGUAGGCGGUCCGGUAAGUCGGCUGUGAAAGUCCAGGGCUCAACCCUGGGAUGCCGGUCGAUACUGCCGGACUAGAGUUCGGAAGAGGCGAGUGGAAUUCCCGGUGUAGCGGUGAAAUGCGCAGAUAUCGGGAGGAACACCUAUGGCGAAGGCAGCUCGCUGGGACGUUACUGACGCUGGAGACGCGAAAGCGUGGGGAGCAAACAGG
rnacentral:rRNA from 1 species